rnacentral:rRNA from 1 species
GCUGCUCGGCGUGGGGGAGUCUGAUGGCUGAACUGAAACUCAAAGGAAUGGUCGAGGGGCGGCCGAAGCGGCAGAUCAUGUGAUUAGAUGCGAAGCAAAGAGCAGAACCAGGUCAGGUCCUCCCACCGUCCGUCAAAGAGAUAGAAUUUUCCCUUCGGGGACAGCGGUGACAGGUGGUGCAUGGUUGUCGUCAGCUCGUGUCGUGAGAUGUUGGGUUAAGUCCCGCAACGAGCGCAACCCUUGAUCUUAGUUGCCAGCAUUCAGUUGGGCACUCUAAGGUGACUGCCGGUGAUAAACCGGAGGAAGGUGGGGAUGACGUCAAAUCAUCAUGCCCCUUAUGACCUGGGCUACACACGUGCUACAAUGGACGGUACAGAGGGUCGCAACCCCGCGAGGGUGAGCUAAUCCCAUAAAACCGUUCUCAGUUCGGAUUGUAGGCUGCAACUCGCCUACAUGAAGCCGGAAUCGCUAGUAAUCGUGGAUCAGCAUGCCACGGUGAAUACGUUCCCGGGCCUUGUACACACCGCCCGUCACACCACGAGAGUUUGUAACACCCGAAGUCGGUGGGGUAACCCUUUUGGAGCCAGCCGCCGAAGGGGCCGAGG